rnacentral:snoRNA from 1 species
AUUCCGUGAUGAGGGUACUUCUGAAAUAAUUCUUUAUACCUUUCCUGUGCCUCAUACAUGGACUCAUCAUCCAUUUGUUGGAAGGCAGUGAUCUCAUUUCUCAACUU